GCCUUGAUGGUGCAGUGGUAGCGCGCGUCCCCGGUAUGGAUGAAACCCAAGUUCGACUCUCGUUUGAGGUCA